UUGCCUUGUAUAAGACCACAGUAACGUGACAUUUUUUAUAAAGUAGGUCAGAGAUUUGGAACAACCUCAUUGGAAAAUUCGAACAGAAAAUGCUUAAGCAAAGUCUUGUUUUACUGGAAUAUCCGUUAGAAUAGAAGAUUAUUCCAUUCUAGCCCAAGGUUUGCAGCCGGGAUCAUUGAGAUGAAAGUCAAGAAUGCAUAUCACAUGACCAGCUAUCAAAGUCUUUUACAGCUUUACAUUUCUCAGUUAAAAAUACAAAGCAAAGAACAUUAUUAAGUGUUUCAGUUGAAUGGCCAUCAAAACAUAUUCUUCUCACUAACUUUGACAAGAAGACUUGCAAUCUUCAUGGAGGUACACAGAUCAAGACUAGAUUGUAUUGCAGAGAAACAUCAAACAAACAAAGGAUUCAAUGAAUGAUUUUAAAAAAAGAAAAGAAAUUUAUCGUAAAUAAAAAAAAAUACUUAGAAAAAAAAAACAAGUGGGGGUGAACAAUAACUGUACAUCAUGAUGUAUUACAUAUUAAACAUCAGGAUGUAGAACACAUCAAACAAAGAAUAAAAAAAAAAAAAGCAUUUAAAUGUAUACAGUCUAAAGAAGAAAAGAAAAAAAAUUCUUUAAGCUAUACCACUAGGAAACCAUUAUAUAGCCCACUAGAGAACAUUUUGCUUGAAAUCUACAGCCACUGAGAAGCUACUAAAACAAAGACUAUUAAAGCAUUGAUUGUCAGACACUCCCCUAUCUAGUUAUAUCUAAAAACAAAACUUUAUCUGAGACACUUGCUACAACAUUCCAACAAUCAAAUAAAACAAGAAGUUUACAUCAUUGGAGCUGACUUUCUCCAACAAUCAAAUAAAACACAAGACAUUUACAUCCUUGGAGCUGACUUUCUUCCCAAACAAUCAAAAUGUGAACAUCCUAUCAGUGCCACCCUGGCAUAAUAAAGACUCAAGUCAUAAUACCCUGUGACUUUAAGACUGACAGCAAAAAAAAUAAAAUAUCUAUACCUACAAAGAAAACACUUAACAACUGUUACAGAAUCAAGGUCUCGGUAUAGAAUACUGAUGACCUACGGUCAAUAUGAUGUUAAAAGUGAAAGUGAUAUGUGCUAGGUGAAGUCUAAAAAGGACAAUGAUACAAAAAUUUAAGAAAAAAGAAGUAAGUUUUGUGUGGGGGUCAAGUCAAGUGCUCGGCCUGGGAGUGAAGGAGCUCAAGUUGAGCUUCUAGUUUUUAUUUUAGAAUAAAGUUCAAACCAAAUGACAUGACACAACUGUCGACAGUCGCUGACAGAAACAUUUGCCCAAGGAUCAUUAAGUCCUGAGGACAACGUUAAUCAUUUUUCUUCCUAAAACCUUAAAAACCACAGGGCAAGUGAAAAAGAGUACGCCAUCUUUUAUGACAAACUUUAGGUAACCUCUUUCUUUUUCCCCUCUAUAGUUAAAUCUUACUCUACAUUUCUCUACAAAACCUGUUAACUAGCAGAGCUGAUAGCAUGAACUCAAUAACACCCACAGAUCCAAGUCUCCACAAGGAUUUGUAAAUAAAAGACAAAAUGAUAAAUUUGUAAUGACAGUUGUCUAACUCUAGUAGAAGCAAAGAUAAAAACGCUUUAAAGGUGUAGAUUGUAUAUUUCUUUCCAUAAUAGACGAAGAGUUCAUUCAAGACCAGAACACAUCAUACAAUUAUUUAUUUUUACUCCAAACUUUGGUUUCAAAUGAAUUAGGCAAAUAUUGAGAAACAUUUCCAUUCCAACUAGUAUCUGUUUGGCCUCAACAUUGAAUCCACAUGGACUAUGACAGAAAGAAACUAAUACAUGUCAAGUCAAGAAAUAACACUGCACAAAUAACAAUAUUAAAGCCACCUGGCAGAGGCAGAAGAGGAUUUUAAAACUGCUAUUACAUUCACUGAAAUUGAUUAGAAAUGAAAAGAGAAGACCCAAUGAACUAUUAAAUAAAGAAAACGGAUAUUAUAAAUUAAAGACAUUCCUUCAAAUGGGGAUGUAAUAACAUCCUUUGAGCAUCCAUGAGUUAAUCUAGUCAUGCAUGUUAAUGAGAGACUUAACUCUUUCUCUCCUAACUGACAAUACCAGCGUUGAUUCCACCAGAAUGUGGUAAAUAAUUAUGGAGAGAAAGAGUUAAAUCUUAAGUUUUCCUUAAUUUAGGCAACUGCUUCUAUGCUCUGAUAGCACUAGGGAAGAAGGAGGAAGUCUUGAAUGAAUUUGUCAUAUGGAAUAAAGUAGAAACUAUUGCCAAACACUGUUUGCAUAAAUGGAUUUCUUGCUGCCAAGCUGAAUUACUUUUUACCUUACAUUUAUAUAGUGACAGCUUGCCCACUUAGCAUUUGAGUUAAAAAUACAUAGCAUAUAAAACCUGGUACUUAAAUAUUUAAUACAGGAUUCGUAUCUUACUUAAAAAUUUGAUCAGAGUUGGCCAAUACAUCAAUUAAAAAUAGUAAUUCAGAUAUGUUUCUCUUUUGUCUUUCUUUUUUCUACACCAGUUCUAUUUGUAAAUAAUUCAACCUAAAUUAUUCCAUCAGAAAACUCCAUGAUACUAUCUGAAGGAAAUGGCUGAUUUUUAUCAAACAAUCAAUAAAAAAAACAAUUAUGAAAAGUUUUUGAAAAAAAAAAA
rnacentral:sRNA from 1 species